rnacentral:rRNA from 1 species
AACGAACGCUGGCGGCAGGCUUCAUACAUGCAAGUCGAACGGGUGUAGCAAUACAUCAGUGGCGCACGGGUGCGUAACGCGUGGGAAUAUGCCCUUUGGUACGGGACAACAUCGGGAAACUGAUGCUAAUACCGUAUAAUAUCUGCGGAUCAAAGAUUUAUCGCCAAAGGAUUAGCCCGCGUUUGGAUUAGGUAGUUGGUGAGGUAAAGGCUCACCAAGCCGACGAUCCAUAGCUGGUCUGAGAGGAUGAUCAGCCACACUGGGACUGAGACACGGCCCAGACUCCUACGGGAGGCAGCAGUAAGGAACUAUUGGACAAUGGAGGAAACUCUGAUCCAGCCAUGCCGCGUGAGUGAACGAAGGCCUCGGGUUGUAAGGACUCUUUACCCCUUCGUACGACGUAAUGAC